GAGCGCGGCGGCGGAGGAAUAAAAGAAGCAGAAUCAGAAGCUCUCACGUACGCCGGCAGUCGUCUCGUCGCGCCAAGCACCGCCGUCAGUCGUACGCACCUCGCAAUCUCGUUCACCUCGUACCUCCAGCGCGCGCAUCCGCCGCCACCUCUGCUGCUCCAACGCACCGCGCGCGUGCGUCACAUAUAUAUGCACGCACGCAACGUCGUCGUUCCUGCCGAUCGAUCUCGCUCGCGUCACCUGUUAGUUGUGCAAGGGGUUGGAGCCGGUGGGCACUUUCCUCUUGCUGUCGUCCGUCCCGAGCGUGCUGCCGUCGGCGGGUGACGGCGCGGGAGCCAUCGUCGUCGACGUCCGCAGCGGGGCCGUCGUCGUCGUCACCACGAACGCCGACGACGCGCGGGCGGCGUCGACGGCCGUGAGGACGGUGGAGCCGAGCAAGGAGGAGUGGACGAGGACGGCGAUGAGGAGCCACGGCGCCCCGACCACCACCAGCCCGCCGCCCGCCGCCAGCCUCACUCCCCGGGCCAUACUACUAUAUAUCUCGGACGACUAUAGGGCCGGGGACGACCAGCUGCCAGCUGUGGCGGACCACGUCAACACCCACCACCACAGUGCCGCCGCAGCUCGCGCGCGCGCCGGCGAGGAGUGCAGUGCAGUGCAGGUGCACGUCGUCGACGGGGAGAGCGGGCAUGCACGCAGCAGCUGGGGUGGGAGUGGGACGGAGGAGGCUCUAUCUGGGAGGAGGCGUGAUGACAGUGCGUGGU
rnacentral:misc_RNA from 1 species